CUGGGAGCGCUUCGGUGACUUGCUCGGGAGCACCCAGCGGCGCGUAGCUGCCCGAGACACGGCUCCAACUCGGAUGUUCUUGAUCCCAAGUCCAGCGCUGGGGGUUUAAAGGAAGGCUAUGGGCUGCCUGAGAGGAAAGACACCAGGAUAAUAGUGGCACCCACUUGGGAUGCGGCGGUGUCCGUAGAAGCCCUGAGUGCACGUGGUGGCCGCACAUCCCUUCCCCCCCCCCCCCCCCCGCGCGCUCCGAGGGGCUCCCCCCAGGCCUUGCCCCCAGCUCCGAUGCUACUUCCAGCGCUUUACUACGGAUUGGGGAAGGUCGGGGCUUGCGGCCUGUGAAGGCCCCGGCCCCCCCGCCCCCGGCUGCAUUUGGAUCCCGUAGCCCCGCCCAGAGCUCCGGGGGUGUGGGGACGGGCUGGGGCGAGCUCCCGGGCCAGUUCGGGGAGUCUACAACUAUCCCGGGCCUGGGCGCUGUCCAGAGGAGUCGGGUCUCCGGAAGGGAAUCACGGCCUUCGUAGGGACCGCAGUAACUCCUGUGGCAACAGAGCGGGACCCCAAGCCCUGAAUUGCCAUGUUUGUACAGCUAAUGAAAAUGACUGUUCGAACCCAAUGCAGUGUCCUGGACUAGCCAUCUACUGCAAGACCAUUCGGGCCUCUUCUCCAGCUCUGGUCUACAAAUCCUGUGCGGCCAUCUGCACCAAGGAUAGCAUGGAGGAAAUUCAAAUAAAACAAAAUGCCAAGGUGUCCUGCUGCCAGUCAGACCUGUGUAAUGGGGCUGCUUCCUGGAACCCGGGAUCCUCAAGCCUCAUCCUCACGGGGCUUCUCAGCAUCUUCUGGGGCCUGUUUGCUCUUGGUCUCUGAGCUAUAGCCAGCAGACCCACAGGUGGAUAAAUUAACUUCCUUUCCCUCCUUUGCAUUGAUAGCUCAGCCUGGCUCCCAGGUGAGAGAGGGAGACUAUGCUCCUGUCCUUCCUUUGUCACUAGGUCCCACUCAGAGCACUGGGCUGUUUCCAGCCCUCCAUCACCUACCAUCCCCCACUGCUAUGUCUCUGUUUGGCUUUCAUAUCAGUAGAAUAGCCCUGGCCAUUUUCCAGAAGGUCGAAAAUGAUUCUUAUGACACAAUUUUGAUUUGGAAGGAAAUCACAAAAUCCCAGAUUUAAAAGGGACUCUAGAGAGCAUCCCAUGCAACCUUCAUUUGAGCAGCAAUCCCCUCUGUUAUAUCCCUGACAGGCUCUCAUUCAGCGUUGACUUGAAGAAUGCCGGUUGUGGGAAACUCCCUAUCUGUUGGGGCACCCCGUUCUACUUCUGGACAGUUUUAAUUGGCAGGAAGCAUUUCCUUAUAUCCAGUCCAAAUCUUCCUCUCUGCAAUUUUUAGACCUGGUUCCUAAUUUUGCUUGCUAGGACCAAGCAGACCAAGUCGAAUCUGUCACAUAUCUGAAGACAGCUAUAGUUUCCGUUCUCUUUUGCAAGUUAACGCUCCUAUCCCUCCAACCCCAGUCCUUGCAUGGCAGGAGACCUCACAGAUCAUUCUAUUUUAGCCUCGCCUCAUUUUACAGAGGAGGACACUGAGCUUUAAAGAAAAAUCCUUGCUUGUCUAACAUAGGUAGGAAAUGACAAAGGUGAGACUUGAACUCAAGAUUUUUGACUUCAGAUCUAGUUUUGUUUAUUCUCUUUGCUGUGGAAGAAAUACCAGUCUCUGGUCCCCUUCCAGGACACUCCUCAAAUUUCCAGUUAAUUUAAGGUUUGAGGAAUAGGUUAAAGAAGGCUAGAAGUGGAAGGAGAAGAAAAAUCUCUUGAAUCCCUCUUGUUCGUUGUGGAGUUCAGGGGAGUGACAACACAGAAUCCCAACAGCUGCUCCUGGGCUGGCUCUCUCCCCAAAGUCUCAAAUGUUUAUUGGUCUGUCAGAUGUCACCCCAGGCUCUUUCUACAAAAGGGAAGGCAUGGGGAAAGCAGCCAGGCUAAUGUUGACCUCUGGAGGGAAGGGAAGGGAACAGAUCAUAUUGGGGCUUUUUUUAGCUGCCUGACUCAGCCCUGGGAUGAGAAACCAAGGCCCUUGUCCCCAGGGCAUCUCUCCCACUCCCCCCUCCUAGGUGAGAAGGCAAACAUGACUACGCCAGUAACCUCUCCUAACAGAAGUAGGAGAGGCUGAAGUUAUAGGAACAGGAGGCCCGCUAAAACAGCCCAGUGACACUCCAGGCUCAACUAACAACCUCUGGCUACAGAUAUGAGGCUCCGUGGGAUUAGCUACCCCUCAUGGAGAAGUAGAAAGCACGUUUGGUGGUCCAUCCUCUGGAGUCAAAGAGCCCCUCAUUUUUUUACAGCUGAGAAAACUUCCCAAAAAGAAGGGGAAAGGCAUGCUAAUUAGUAAAUAUAAUAAACUAAAUAGUAAAUAAUAUAUAGCAGAGCAUGGACCAGAACGUAAGUGAAACAAUGCAUAGAGUGCUAAGUCUGAAGUCAGAAACACCUGAGUUUGAUUCCUGCCUUGGUUACUAAUUCUAUGAAUCUGGACAAGUCAUUUCAACUCUGUUUGCCUCAGUUUUUUCAUCUGUAAAAUGGGGAUAAUAAUGGCACUUACCUUCCAGGGUUUGGUGAGGAUUAAAUGACACUAUAUUGAUAAAGUAUCUAACAGUGCUUAAUAUAUGGUAGGCACUAUAUAAAUGCUUGUUUCUUUCCUUCUGAUCCCACCCCCCCAAAUCAAGAUUCUCUGCAUUUUGCCUUUUAUUCCUAGAAAGGAACUUGGUGGUCAUGUAUAAGGCUGCCCUCGAUAUACACAUACAUACAUACAUCAUCAUCAUUAUCAUUGUCUAUUGAGGUCAAUAAUAUAUCCCCCAGAGGUUUGGCUGAGAUGAAUUAUUGACGGGAUAAAAUAUAAACUCCCAAUAUCAUUCAAGGUUCACUCACCAGCUGGUUCCCAUCUACCUGCCAGAUCUUAUUUUAUUGUCCUUCCCUUGCUCUAUGUUCUAGAGAAACUGGACAACCCUUCACCUCUUGUUCUUUGUCUGACAAUCCCCAUCUCUGUGUAUUUUUGUCCAUACCAUCUUCCCCAUCUCCAUCUAUUGAAGACCUUUUUCUUUCACCCUUUAUAGUCCAAUUCAGAUGCCACCUUUUUCCUUGAACCUCCCUCCCUAAUCUUUUCCCUAAGUCACAUGUUGUCCCUCAGAGUCCUAUUUCUUUCCCUCUCUCUGCUCUCUAGAGCCUGAAUUGUCACCCAAAUGGAAGAGAAUGGCAGGCCAUCCCCAGUAAUCUCUCAAAGGUAGAAAUCUAUUCAUCCAGUUAAGGGAGGAAGGAAGGAGGAAGGUCUGCAGGUAAAAUCUCAGCCUUUCUCCCAGACUUUUAUCUGGUCCAUCACUGUACCAAACUGAAGCUUAGACAGACUUUGUAGAUACAAACAAAACAAAAUUAAAGCUAGAUAAAUUAGAAAGAUUUUGUAUUUGGAUAAAUUCAGAGUUAUAUAUGUAUGGGAGACUUCACAGGGACUUUCAAACCAAAUUUGAAGCCUCCUCUCAUUAAGUUCUUAUUUCUUCAGUUAUUCCUGGGAACUCGUCAAACCUUUUUUGUGCAUCUUCUUAUAGACCUACCUUGAAUUAUUGAUGUAAGGUAUGUGAAUACAUCCUGAGUGUUCUCAUUAACCUUUCUCCUCAGAAAAAAAGAAACAUUAGGAAGGCUCCCUCAGAGUCUACUAGUACACCUAACUCAUCCAUGAGCAAAGUAUGACAAUGAUUAUUGAUUUUGCAAGGUAUUAUCUGCUACUCUAACAUAUCCUAUAUUAGAUUGUAAACUCCUUGAGGACAGGUGAGGACAGGCAGUACUGUGUAUCAGACAGAGCACUUGGACUUGGGGUUAUAAGACCUGGAUGUCACUCUGGCUGCUGUAUUUGCUUGACUCUUCAUUGUCAACUUGUCUUCCUCAGCUUCAGUAUCCUUAUCUGUAAAAUAUGGAUACUAACCUUUGCACUGCCUACCUCACAGAGCCAUGUAAGGAUCAAAUAAAAGACACAACAAGUAUUUUACAGCCUAUACACAUGUAAAAUAUUAUCUAAAGUUUGCAUUACUCUGAAUAUCUAUUAUAAACGUUCUUCAUGUAGCACGUGAUGAAUAAAGAUUUGCUGAAUUCAAAGAAGCAUCUUUCUAUGUCUGUUUCAUCAUCUAUACUUACUGGGUAGCGUGUAUAGCAUUUGAUUUGAAAUUAAAAGGCCUGAGUUCUACUUUUGUCCCUGCUACUAACUACUUCAUGACCUGUAAUUAGGUGGUACAGUGAGGGAAGUCCUGGACUUGAAGUCAGCAAGGUCCGAGUUCAGAUCCAACUUCAGCUUAUGAUCUUGGGCAAGUCGCUAACUUCUGCUUGCCUUAGUUUCUGUAAAAUAAGUAAGAUAACAAUACACCUACCUCCCAGAGUUACUGUAAGCAUUAGACCCGAUGAUAUUUUCUAAAAUACAGUGCAAACCUUAAAAUGCUACAUACAUAUUAGCUACAAUUAAGUAAUUUUCCCUUCUAUAAAAAUGAAAAGAUGGGAUCACUUGGACUCUAUGUCUGAGGUCCUUGGUAUUACAGUUUACUCACCUGGAAAUAGAUUCCUAAUCUGAGGAACACACUGUCCACCCUCCCUCCCAGACGUAAGAGCAACUCAGGUGGGGUGUGAAAGAAUAGCCCACAUGAUUGGAUUACGAAGCUCAACUUCUGCAUAAAUAAAAUAAAUACAUCUAUUUUUGUCUAUGGAAACAAAGUCUACAUCCAAGUCAACAAAACCAAGACUAACGCAGUAAAUUAUCUCCAACUGACAGUGGUUCAGGGAGUUCUCAAUAAGACAUAUCCAACCAAGGUCAAAUUGGAAUGGAGCUUUACAUCUCCAGGUAACCUUGGGCCAUCAUAGCUGGUCGGUGUGGGCAGUUGUGAGAUUGAUGAAUUGUAUUGAUCUCCAAUUGAACGUGAAGGAUAUAAACUCAAAAAUUACACAAUCUUUGUGGAGAAGGGCCCCAUGAUGUUCAGUUAUACUUAACUUGAAUGUGACUCCCUCUUUCC
ensembl:lncRNA